ensembl:misc_RNA Metazoa_SRP Metazoan signal recognition particle RNA
GCCAGGCGCAUUGGCAGGCGCCUGUAAUCCCAGCUACUUGGGAGGCUGAGGCAGAAGAAUCACUUGAACCUGGGUGGCAGAGGUUGUAGUGAGCUGAGAUUGUGCCACUGCACUCUAGCCUGGGUGACAGAGUGAGACUCUGUCUCAA